AACGCACAUUGCGCCCGCCAGUAUUCUGGCGGGCAUGCCUGUUCGAGCGUCAUUUCAACCCUCAAGCCCCCGGGUUUGGUGUUGGGGAUCGGCGAGCCUCACGGCAAGCCGGCCCCGAAAUACAGUGGCGGUCUCGCUGCAGCUUCCAUUGCGUAGUAGUAAAACCCUCGCAACUGGUACGCGGCGCGGCCAAGCCGUUAAACCCCCAACUUCUGAAUGUUGACCUCGGAUCAGGUAGGAAUACCCGCUGAACUUAA
rnacentral:misc_RNA from 1 species